AUUGAACGCUGGCGGCAGGCCUAACCCAUGCAAGUCGAACGAGUGGCGGACGGGUGAGUAAUGUCUGUGAAACUGCCCGAUGGCGGGGGAUAACUACUGGAAACGGUAGCUAAUACCGCCUACCAUCGGAUGUGCCCAGAUGGGAUUAGCUAGUAGGUGGGGUAACGGCUCACCUAGUCGACGAUCCCUCGCUGGUCUGAGAGGAUGACCAGCAACACUGGAACUGAGACACGUGCCAGACUCCUACGGGAGGCAGCAGUGGGGAAUAUGGCAAAAUGGGCGAAAGCCUGAUGAAGCCAGGCCGCGUGUAUGAAGAAGGCCGUCGGGUUGUAAAGUACUUUCAGCGAGGAGGCGUUACUCGCAGAAGAAGCACCGGCUAACGCCGUGCCAGCAGCCGCGGUAAUUC
rnacentral:rRNA from 1 species